rnacentral:ncRNA from 1 species
AAAAUAUUUGGUUCUGGUAUAAUGUUAGCUACAGAGUUUUUUACAUUACACAAUGUAGGAUAAUUUCGUGAUGUGUGAAAGUCUGAUUUACGUGAUAAGCCGAAACUUAAAGUAUCCUAAAAGGAAAAAUUGGCAGCAGGAGCAUAAGUUUUUAAUGAUGACGCGAAGGAAAUCACAACUCAAGUGGGUAGAUCUGGAAAUCAAUGAGUUCUAGCUUGAAACGAAUAAAAAACUAACUAAAUUGAAGCGAAAGAGGGUGCCAGCAGCUGCGGUCACUCCCUCUCUCGAGGAGCUAAUAAGGGUGCAGCUUAGAGGCAGUUAGUCAAAAUGCAUAACGCAAGACAUACAGCAGGGACUAUGGGUGAAAUCUCAGUCCUGCGGGAGGUCCAAAACUUGCGUAAAGAUGAGUCUGCGAAGUUAUGGGUAUAGACCCGGAUUUGGUACCCGGUUAUUCCAUAAUGUCAAGUAUAGCUAUUUUAUUUGAAUUAAUAGUUUGCUAGGGGUACUACGAGCAACUGCUUAAAACUCGAAGAACUUGGCGGUUCCGCAUAACCAUCCAGAGGCUCUUGGCGCUUAAUCUGAUGAUCCGCGUGAUAUCUUACCUGCCCUAUAGAAAGCAGUGUACUGCCGUCGAAAGCUUAUGAUGUGAGUAAAUGAAAAUAGGCCCAAUCUUGGGAUUUUAAGUAAUUAAUAAUCAUACCGAGGCUAGGUCAGGUCGAAGUGCUCCUUAUGGGCAAGGGGUUAGCUGAGAGACAAAUAUUUAGACAUAUAAAGAUUUUAGAGAUGAAAUUCUCUUAGUGAAUAUAAGGAUUUGGGAGUAAAAAGAGAGUAAUUCGUUUUUUUGAAAAGACGCAACUGCGGUGCGUUCAAAUCGCCCGUCACCCUAGCCGAAAGGAGAGGUAAGUCGUAACAUGGUAAGGGUAGGGGAACUUGCUCUUUUAAUAAC